CUGUCGUCUGCAUAAUAACUCUUCCUGUCCCUCCAGACACAGCCAAUCUCCUCCAAGCCAAGCAGGGGAAUCCAGAGAGGCCAGAAGAGCUGGGAGAGCCUGAGGUAAAGUUUGCAGUCAGCUGUCCUCCAAACACAGGGAAGAUGGCCUCCAGGUAGCCACUCCACAUCUGAAGACAAUAGCAUGGCAGCUACUAUGUCUAGGGUCAUCAGCAUGUCUGCCUCUGUACAGCAGGGCACUGCCAGCACAUUCUUGGGAAGCAGGGACCUCUCGCAUUCUCCAGCACAUGGCAAGUCAAAGAAAUAAGCAAAAUCCUAGGCAGCCAAAGGAUGUCACCUCAGGCAAAGGCAACUUGGAACUAAAGGGAAGUCUCUCAGAAAGGAAUGAUUCCAUGAAGAGUCCAGAACAUGGAGGAGAAAUACCAAGGUUCACCUUCCUGAAUGACUGGACUGUGGAGAAGCCUGACAGCAAGCAGGUCACUCGCAUGUGCACCUCUGUAUUUCUAAGCCCUCGGAGUAUCACCUCAUAGUCUCAAGCCCUUCCCAACCAUUCAAGGGAUAAACAUGACCUGUUUCUGGCCAGACUGGCCAAUGGUGGCAUGGGUCUUAGAGCAUUUUCAACUCCUGCCUAGAUGCCUAUCUACCUAUACCAACUCUGUUCUGGAUCAGCAGUGAAUCUGGGUUGGGAGGGGCACAAAAACUAUAUAAAAACAACACAAAUAAUCUAUAUCUGUGUUAAUUAUAUUUAUAAAAUACAGCAUUACAGUGUUAGAUAUAAUGAAGCAAGUUUAAUCUCCAUUCAUAAGCUGAUGAUGGAAACACCUUUACUUCUCCUUUAGUGAUCAAUGCAAGCCUCUGUGGAGUUCUACAAAUUCAGUGAUCUGACAGCACCCAUGUGCAAAACUUGGGCAUGACAAGGUACAGACCUUCACACUGUGGCUUAGUGGGAAAAGUAAUAGGUGGAAAAAGAAGAGAUCUAUUUUCUGGGCCUCUAGUUCUAGAUCUUAUGCUUUGUCUGUAAAGUAUGUAUAAAACCCAGUGAUGGGCCACCUGACAUUAACCUUAUUAUUGCUUAUAUACAAAUAUCCUUACUACACUCAGGUGCUUCUUUUGCUAUAAAUCAAAUGUUAGCAUUGUUGACUAUGGGCUACUAAAUUACACUUACCAACACUACCUAUCUUUAAAGGAAAGAGACACAAGUUGGAUUCAAUGGUACCAGCUAUUAAUUACUUGAAACAUAUAAAGUAUCUUAAAAAGCAGUAGGUCAAAUUUACUGUCAUUCAACUUUACAUGUGUCUGUCUCAGGGCGUCUCUCCAAAAGUCUCUGUUAAGCUGGACACACAUACACAAGUAGAUAUACUCAGUGACAGAGCCAGUGACCACCAGCCACUAGACUUAGGUCCCAGAGGUUAUGUGCUACAUACAGAAAAGAUAAUUCUCGGGAUGUUUUCAUUAUCCCAGUUGCCUUACACGUAGACGUUUAUAAUAAAUUAUGUACAAAACGGUACCAUAGAAAUAUAGCACAUCUCACCCCCUCCUCAUUAACUACAAAGGACCCUGCAUGGUAUGUAGCAGGUCAAACAUCUAUAUGCCUUUUUCAUAAUGGGUCUAGAUGGCCCCAGAGUGAGCCUUUUUCUCAUGAAAGGGAAUAGAGACUGGCUGGCCACCCAAUAUGUCCAACUAAACCCCUCUUGCAGCCCAGGGAUCCACUCUGUUGCCAAUUUUCUGAAAGCUUCACAACGGAGUCACAAAAACACUGUCACUAGAGGGAGGAGGCAGAAUAUCUGAAGGGAGAGGUAGUAUAGGAGCCUACAGCCUGCACCUCCCUGCCCUGUGCCAAGAGACUGCAAUCUCUGGCACAGCCAACUUCUUGUAAACUCCUUGGUUGUAUAAUGAACCAAAACCCACUACGUCACAUCCUCUGAGGAGAAAAGCGCUGCCAGAUGAGUCUAU